rnacentral:rRNA from 1 species
UACGUAGGGGGCAAGCGUUGUCCGGAUUUAUUGGGCGUAAAGCGCGCGUAGGCGGCGCGGUAUGUCGUGCGUGAAAUCUCCCGGCUUAACUGGGAGGGGCCGUGCGAAACUGCCGGGCUUGAGGUCGGAAGGGGAAAGUGGAAUUCCGGGUGUAGUGGUGGAAUACGUAGAUAUCCGGAGGAACACCAGCGGCGAAGGCGGCUUUCUGGUCCGAUACUGACGCUGAGGCGCGAAAGCGUGGGGAGCGAUCCGG